rnacentral:rRNA from 1 species
UGCCAGCAGCCGCGGUAAUACGGAGGGUCCGAGCGUUGUCCGGAAUUAUUGGGUUUAAAGGGUGCGUAGGCUGUUUGAUCAGUCAGAGGUGAAAUCUCAAGGCUCAACCUUGAAACUGCCUUUGAUACUGUCAGACUUGAAUUUACUAGAGGUAAGCGGAAUUUAUGAUGUAGCGGUGAAAUGCAUAGGUAUCAUAAAGAACACCGAUAGCGUAGGCAGCUUACUGGAGUAUUAUUGACGCUGAGGCACGAAAGCGUGGGUAGCGAACGGGAUUAGAUA